UAAGUCAGCAUAUUGGUAUAUUCCUCCUGUUUCUUUCCUGACUGAAAUUCCUUCUUGUGUUUGGAGUCUGUUGGCUGGCCAUCAAAAUGGAGCAACUUGACCCAGAGUGGAUAACUGUCAACUGUAUCAAGAGACAACCACUGCAUCUUACAACUUCAACAGUUCUUGCUGGGAACCUGGCUGUGCCUGUGACUUCAGAUGCUAGCAAGCAAACCUACCUGCCUCAUUUUAAUUUCAG